rfam:Glossina morsitans morsitans, isolate Yale, WGS project CCAG01000000 data, contig: ctg10001926
UCCUUCCUUGUCAUGGGGAGCAUGAUACUCUAUGAACGUUUAGUGAGAGUAUUUAUGCUGACACCAUUUAUUUAAAUAACCCCCCGUACGCUUUGUCUAAAGUGUAUGGAAUUUUUGGAAAA